rnacentral:rRNA from 1 species
AUUGAACGCUGGCGGCAUGCCUUACACAUGCAAGUCGAACGGCAGCGGACCUUCGGGUGCCGGCGAGUGACGAACGGGUGAGUAAUAUAUCGGAACGUACCUUUCAGUGGGGGAUAACGUAGCGAAAGUUACGCUAAUACCGCAUAUUCUGUGAGCAGGAAAGCAGGGGAUCGCAAGACCUUGCGCUGAUUGAGCGGCCGAUAUCAGAUUAGCUAGUUGGUGAGGUAAAGGCUCACCAAGGCGACGAUCUGUAGCGGGUCUGAGAGGAUGAUCCGCCACACUGGAACUGAGACACGGUCCAGACUCCUACGGGAGGCAGCAGUGGGGAAUUUUGGACAAUGGGCGCAAGCCUGAUCCAGCCAUGCCGCGUGAGUGAAGAAGGCCU